UUGGAGGGCAAGUCUGGUGCCAGCAGCCGCGGUAAUUCCAGCUCCAAUAGCGUAUAUUAAAGUUGUUGCAGUUAAAAAGCUCGUAGUUGAAUUUCGGGGUCAGCAGGUUGGUCGUGCCACUGGUAUGCACUGGCUUCGCUGAUUCCUCCUUCUUGAAGAACUGUAAUGUCAUUAAUUUGGUGUUGCAAGGAAACAGGACUGUUACUUUGAAAAAAUUAGAGUGUUUAAAGCAGGCUAACGCUUGAAUACAUUAGCAUGGAAUAAUGAAAUAGGACGUUCGAUCCUAUUUUGUUGGUUUCUAGGAUUGACGUAAUGAUUAAUAGGGAUAGUUGGGGGCAUUAGUAUUCAAUUGUCAGAGGUGAAAUUCUUGGAUUUAUUGAAGACUAACUACUGCGAAAGCAUUUGCCAAGGAUGUUUUCAUUAAUCAAGAACGAAAGUUAGGGGAUCGAAGACGAUCAGAUACCGUCGUAGUCUUGACCAUAAACUAUGCCGACUAGGGAUCGGAUGAUGUUAAUUUUUUAAUGACUCAUUCGGCGCCUUACGGGAAAC
rnacentral:rRNA from 1 species